CNGUAAACGAUGGGUACUAGGUGUAGGAGGUAUCGACCCNUUCUGUGCCGGAGUUAACGCAAUAAGUACCCCGCCUGGGGAGUACGACCGCAAGGUUGAAACUCAAAGGAAUUGACGGGGGCCCGCACAAGCGGUGGAGUAUGUGGUUUAAUUCGACGCAACGCGAAGAACCUUACCAGGUCUUGACAUUGAUGGACAGAACUAGAGAUAGUUCCUCUUNUUCGGAAGCCAGAAAACAGGUGGUGCACGGUUGUCGUCAGCUCGUGUCGUGAGAUGUUGGGUUAAGUCCCGCAACGAGCGCAACCCCUAUCUUAUGUUGCCAGCACUUUGGGUGGGAACUCAUGAGAGACUGCCGCAGACAAUGCGGAGGAAGGCGGGGAUGACGUCAAAUCAUCAUGCCCCUUAUGACCUGGGCUACACACGUACUACAAUGGGAGUUAAUAGACGGAAGCGAGAUCGCGAGAUGGAGCAAACCCGAGAAACACUCUCUCAGUUCGGAUCGUAGGCUGCAACUCGCCUACGUGAAGUCGGAAUCGCUAGUAAUCGCAGGUCAGCAUACUGCGGUGAAUACGUUCCCGGGCCUUGUACACACCGCCCGUCACACCACGAAAGUCGGAAGUGCCCAAAGCCGGUGGGGUAACNUUCGG
rnacentral:rRNA from 1 species